CCCGCCUCCCGCCGCGCCCCCUGGCGGGCCAUGGCGCCGCCACAGCGCGGGAGCCUGAGGGGACCGGACGGGGUCGGGGCGGCCCUGGCUGCCUUCGCUGCUGCUGCGGUUUCGCGGUCCUGUGUAAAUACCUCAAGCGAGGGAGUCAGAACAUGGACCAGGCUCUGCUCGGUGGUGCCGAGCAAUAGGACUCAAGGCAACAGGCAGAAACUGAUGCACGGAAAGUUCCACACGAUCUAAGAACUUCACUGUGCAGUGAGCGAGCACUGGAACGGGCUGCCCAGGACGUGUAUAAAAACAUCGGUUUUCUUCCCUUGACACCGCAGUGUCUCACGGCUGCCUCUCCUGGAGCUAGUGACAGGUGCGGCUGCGAAGAAAUGCCAACAAAUCCCAACUCUCCAUCCCAGCUCUUUAGAGAAAGGCCUAGAGACCACGCUUACAAGCCUGGAGCUGCCACCCAGCUGGGAGGUGCUGCAAGGAGAAGCAAGAGUAGAGUUUGAAAUCAUUGCAACAGGGGGAUAAUGACUCUACAAACAUGAGAACAGUCCUGCACUUAGCAAGAAAUCAACUGCACAGAGUAAUUGCAGUAAUAAACUUGCAGAAAAGAAACCAGUAGGCAGAGUGGAUCGCAAGCAGAACACAUCAAGUUCAUGAGGUUGGAAAAGGCAUCCACUCUGCUGAGAUGCAUAAUCAGAAGAGUUGCCACCAAGGUAACUUUGUGAAGUUGUGAAAAGAUAGGGUGCGAGCUAGAAGGGUACAACAACAAAAAGUCGUGUGUUUCAGAACUGAUUAAAAGAAAAUAAAAUAUCUGUGCUUUUAAUAAAAAAACAACCCAAAAGAGAGACUGAACAAAAAUAUGGAAACAGUCUUAAUUUGUGUAAAGGACUGCUGCAAAAAGAAAGGGAACGUUGUCCAUAUUCAAUUUGAAUGUAUCAGCUAAACUGCAGCAGAAGGUAUUUAAUCCAGACAUUCAAAAAAGAGAGUUAAGGACUAGACUAGACUGCCUGAGGAAUGAGUGGAAUCUGUGUUUAUGGCUUUAAGAACAGGUUAUGCAAACAUCCUUUGAGGUUGUUUUCAUAAUAGUUUAUUGUGCCUUGAGGCAGGAGGAUGACUGAGAAUCCAGGUAAGGUCACUUUUGGCUCUCUUGGUUGCUUUUUAUUUGGGGAGGGGAAAUGUAUAGUGUAAAGCUUUAACAUCUACAUGACCUCAAACAACAAGCACUGAGGUUUAGGUGUUUCAAGAAAUCCCUAACAAACAGUGCAAGUGCUGUCUUUGUUAUUCCUCUCAUCUUCUUUCCAGAAAUGAGACACACUAAACUCACCCUCACUAAUACAGGAACCCACACAGUGGGUUUUGGGUGUAUUUGCACAGUUUACAACACUAAACCUGACAGCCCUGAUUAAAAUUUUGCUGCACUGCUGAAUUCAAGGUUAUGUGAAAAUAAAACAGGUCUUUUUCCAUACACUCACAAAAAUGUUUCUGUAGUCUAAAGUUCAGCUAGUGCUUAUCUAUUAACCUCAAAGUCAAUCCUGUUAUAUUUGAUGUUAAUAAAAAUGUAACAAAAGACAGUGUAAUCAAAAAUAUAUAUUCUUAUUUAAGAUUGUUCUUUUUAUAAAAAUCUUGGUAUCAACUGCAACAGAAGCAUAACAUAGCUAAGCCAUGCAUGCAAUUACCAGUCCAAAGUGUGCUAUAAGACUUCUGUGUAUGUCUGCCUUCUAAACACAUAAAUUUUACCUUAUGUCAACUGAUAACUACUUAAAGUAUUACUUCAAGUAAUUUUGAAAUGCACUUCCAAAUGCACUUUGAAAAGAAGAGAAUGGUGUAACAAAUCUUUUAGGAUUCAGAACUUAAUUUGCACAAAAGGUUGUUUAACAAAGAUUUAUUGAAUAAAACAAGCAUUCAAUUUUUUCAUUUUUAGCUAUAUGUAAUUUCUGAAUGAAGAGACAGGAGGACUGUUGUAGCUUCAAUUUAUAGGUACUUAAGUUCUGCCUCAUUUGAAGAUUUAGUAGGAGCUUAACAUAUGUUGACAAAAUAAUUUCAGGCGUUCCCUACAGAAAAUGAAUGGAACUAAGAAGUGACGUCUUCCAUUACCUGGUAAAAGUACAGCCUAAUAAAUAAAAAGAAGAGGUUAUUUUGGUAAAAUUCAAAACAUUAGUAUUAUUAAUUGCAUAUAUAUAUUUUAUACAUAUAUAUAUACAUAUAUACCUAUCUACAUAUACAUCAUUAUUGUUAUAUUAGUAUUGUACUUCUAAAAUACUUCCAAUAACAAACAGAUACACAAACAAAUCAGUUGGUCAUUUCUUAAACUCUGACAAGUCAGUGGCCAGAACACGCAAGAAUCACAGACGUAGUUAGGUUGGAAAAGACCUCUGAGAUCAUCGGGUCUGAUGGCUGAAAACAAUGUCAGCUGGACUGCGGCACCAAAUGCCACGUCCAGUCUCCUUAAACUCAAGGACACUGAUUUCACCACCUCCCUGGGCAACCCGUUCUAAUAUCUAAUCACCUUUUCUAUGAAAAAAAAAAUUCUUCCUAAUGUCAAACCAAAACUUCCCCUGGUGCAGGUUGAGGCCACGUCCUCCCGUCCUGUCUCUGUUCCCUGGGAGAAGAGACCGACCCCCACCCGCCCACACCCUCCUGUCAGGGAGUUGUAGAGUGAUAAGGUCACCCCUGAGCCUCCUCUUCUCCAGGCUGAGCUCCCCGGCUCCCUCAGCCGCUCCUCACAGGACAGGCGCUCCAGACC